GACGAACGCUGGCGGCGUGCCUAAUACAUGCAAGUUGAGCGAUGAAGAUUGGUGCUUGCACCAAUUUGAAGAGCAGCGAACGGGUGAGUAACGCGUGGGGAAUCUGCCUUUGAGCGGGGGACAACAUUUGGAAACGAAUGCUAAUACCGCAUAACAACUUUAAACAUAAGUUUUAAGUUUGAAAGAUGCAAUUGCAUCACUCAAAGAUGAACCCGCGUUGUAUUAGCUAGUUGGUGAGGUAAAGGCUCACCAAGGCGAUGAUACAUAGCCGACCUGAGAGGGGGAUCGGCCACAUUGGGACUGAGACAAGGCCCAAACUCCUACGGGAGGCAGCAGUAGGGAAUCUUCGGCAAUGGACGAAAGUCUGACCGAGCAACGCCGCGUGAGUGAAGAAGGUUUUCGGAUCGUAAAACUCGGUUGGUAGAGAAGAACGUUGGUGAGAGUGGAAAGCUCAUCAAGUGACGGUAACUACCCAGAAAGGGACGGCUAACUACGUG
rnacentral:rRNA from 1 species